UCUUUUUCUGCUCUUUGUCUUAUAGCUUAUCGUUAUUUAGGAAAAGGUUAUUAUUGGGAAAUGGCAGAAGCAGUUUUCCAUGCCCCAAAAAGGAAAAGAAGAGUGUUUGAGUCAUAUGAUUCUCCAUUCCCUAUUCCUGCCUCUCUGGAAGACAUCUGUGGGAAAGAUUUCAAGAUAUGCCAGGCAGAAAUUAUUAACAAUAAUGUAAUUGUAAGGAACCCUGAAGACAUAGAACAGUUGUAUAGCAAGGGCUAUUUUGGAAAAGGUAUUCUUUCAAGAAGCAGACCAGAAUACAAUAUUUCAGACCCUUUAUUGGCUGCUAAGUGGCAAGAUGCCAAGAUAAACAUGCCCAUACUCUCCUCAAAAAAGUAAGUGCAACUUUCUUUCUUGGGAUACAGUUUGUACUGUAACAGUUCAUGUUUUAGCCCAACAAUGAACUAUAAGUGUUAAUUGUGUGGUAAUCAAGUACAGUAAGUUUACCUAUUUAAUUUGGUGAUGGAAGAUAUAAUAUGGCAGUAAUAUUAUUUAUGCUGAUCAAAAUUUUUAACAAUUUAAACCCCAUAUGUAGUAAAUGGCCUUGGAUGAUUCAGUGUUUUCCUUUAGAAGAGAUUUUCAUGUUAAUCUGCAUAACUUGUUUUCAUUUUAACUGUUCUUACAGUGUAUUUUUCUACUUAAUUGCUAUUUCUAAAUUUCAGUUGGGAAGUAAAAUAUACUAUACUAGCAGUGUUAAAGUUUUAAAACUAUAUAGCUGACUGUAAUUUUAUUUAUAAUUAUGACAGUACUUUGGGACUUUUGUCUUAAAUUAGGUAUAAGAAGAAAUGACAUUUGAACGGACUGUCUGUUUAAAAAUUACACUUCUCUCUGAAAAUUCCAUGCCUGCUGUAGCAUCUAUAAUUAUAACUGAAAAAGAUUAGAAUUAACACCACUUUAUACUUAAUUUGACUAUUCCUCUAAUAGUCAGUCAAUUUCUUCCUACUUGUACACAUCUCUUACUCAGCAACAACAGGAGAGAGAGAGAGGGAGUGUUAAAAAUAAGAAACUAUAAUUGCAAAGUCACAUAAUUGGCAGAGGCAUACGUGUAGCUGCAGUGCCUGAAAUUACUUCAAUUUUUUAAAAAUAGAUUUCAAGUUGAUGAUGUCUUUUUAGUUUGUUAAAGAUUAGUAAGCUUUAUAAUUCCUAAAUAUAUAUGUGUCCUGUGUUCACUUUUGUAUCCUACACCUUGAAUUUGUAUUUGCACUGGUUAUCUUUAAUCAAGAUAUUUGAAAAUUUUAAAUAGUUGUCUUUAAUGUUUGGUAGGAGUGUUAAAAGGAAAAAAACAAACAGAAAUCCCACUCCUGUGGUGCUAAAAAACUGGAUCUGGGAUUUUUCCUACAGUUUGUGGCAGGGGGCAGGAGUGUUUUAUAUUAACUUGAAGUGUCUUUAGUUUUCCACAAAAACAACAGUUCUAAACCAUCUAAAUAAAAAUCCUAUAUCCUUUCAUCAUAUAUUUCCUCCUUGAUAUCUGUGAUGUAAUAAUCAUGCCAGUUUUCCAUUUUGCAGUAGUGACUUCCAUGAUAGACAAAAACUGAGUGUCUAAUGUAAGAGAAAAAGCAGAAAUGCAUUUUAUUUUGGGGGAAUGAGGUGGAACAGGGAGAUUUUCAGUGAUACAGAGAAGGAGCCAAUAUUUUUUGCCAUUUGCACUUUAAAGCUUGCUUAUUUGGUAGACCUUGUUAAAGUAUCUUAGAAUUAUCAAAUUAUUAUGAUUUUACAGUUUGAAAUCUGAAGUGCGCCACAGAUAGAGAUAUAAGUGUGUAAAGUUAAAAACAUUUCCUAAAUGAGUUAAAUACUUUGCUGAUCUUACUUUUGUUCCCAGGUUUCUGUUGAUGGCCUGUUCAAAUCACAUUUACAAGACAGCUCUUCUUAAACCAUAAACUGUUUACACUAGUAUCCAUUUGCUUUAGAAUGAUCUUUCCAAGGACAUUUCUGAGCUGGUUGGGUCCCAAUGUAUUCAAGGCACUGAAGCACCCUCAGAUAUUUGUGUGUUGAUUUGAAACUGAAAUUCUGCAAAGAUUUGGAGCCUCUGUUUGUAGCUGAGAACUACUUCUGGACAUAUUUUGGCAUUGGUCUUCAGUGUUCUAUCGCCAGCUGCUUAAAUCAACAUCUUUAAAUUAUGUUUUUAGUUUCCAGUGUAACAUAUGAAGAAUGUGAACACUGUUUAAAGUCUUCACUGUAGUAAUUGGUAUUCAUAUAGGGCCUGAUCUUGAAGACCUUUCAUAGGCAAUACUGCUUUUUAAGAUUUGAUGGAGUACUGCACAAUUGGGUCUUUAAUCUUAAUAAUGUACUUGGCUUUCAUACAGCAGCAAUUAGGGAAGUGAAUUCUCUUCAGACUCCUUUUGUUCCUGAUCCUCAGCUGAUAUAAAUCAGUUUGGCUUCAUAAAGUAAGUGGACCUUCAUUGGUUUACAUCAGCUGAGGAGAUGUCCCUAAAUCAGAGGUGGGCAAUAAUUUUUGAUGGGGGGGCCACUCCAAGAAUUUGGAAAGUGGUCAAAGGCUGCACUCUUCCGUAUUAAUGGAAGAGGUGCAGGAUCUGAGAUGGAGGUCGGGUUCAGAAGGAAGCUUGCUGUAAGGGAUUGAGGUGCAGAAGAGAGUGUGGGGUCUGUGAGAGAGAUAGGGUGAAGGAGGCAGUUGUGACCUGGUUUAGGAGCCUGGAUUGCAGGAGCUUGGAUUUUGACCUUAGUCAAGAGACUAGGAUGUAGAAGGAUGUGGAGGGGUUUGGGCUGUGAUCCUAAGGCAGGAGGGGGUUGUGACUUGGGGCAAGGGAUGGGUGCAGGGGUUUGGGUUGCAACCUGGGGCCAGGAAUAUGGGUGC